GAUGCUCAUGCACCCUUAAAAAGCCAGAGCCACUGCUGCUUUGCUCAGACAAGACAGGCUGUCUCCACUUUCAAUAGCUGAUUUUGAAGCUGUGGUUUUUUGUGCUUUGUUCUCUAAGGGAUGCAGCAAGAGCACCUGAGCAGUGACUUCUGACAAGAAAGUAGGAAAUGUGAGCUUUCACAGUAGCCAUCACGGUCAAGGUAAGA
rnacentral:lncRNA from 1 species